rnacentral:tRNA from 1 species
GCCCGCCAACUUCGGCGCUCGUCGAGUGCCCCCAGUCUACCGCUCCUAUUCACUCGUAAUGAAUAGGUCGUCGGUUCGAUUCCGACAGGCGGCUCCA